rnacentral:misc_RNA from 1 species
GAUGAAGAACGUAGCGAAAUGCGAUAAGUAAUGUGAAUUGCGGAAUUCAGUGAAUCAUCGAAUCUUUGAACGCACAUUGCGCCCGCCAGUAUUCUGGCGGGCAUGCCUGUUCGAGCGUCAUUUCAACCAUCAAGCUCUGCUUGCGUUGGGGAUCCGCGGCUGCCCGCGGUCCCUCAAAACCAGUGGCGGGCUCGCUAGUCACACCGAGCGUAGUAACUUUACAUCGCUAUGGUCGUGCGGCGGGUGCUUGCCGUAAAACCCCCCAAUUUUUAAGGUUGACCUCGGAUCAGGUAGGAAUACCCGCUGAACUUAAGCAUAUCAAUAAGCGGAGGA